rnacentral:rRNA from 1 species
AAUCAACGCUGGCGGCGUGCCUCAGACAUGCAAGUCGAACGAUUAAAGCUCUCUUCGGAGAGUGCAUAGAGUGGCGCACGGGUGAGUAACACGUAAGUAAUCUACCCUCGAGUGGGGAAUAACGUCCGGAACGGACGCUAAUACCGCAUAAUGCAGCGGCACCGCAAGGUGACAGUUGUUAAAGAUUUAUCGCUUGAGGAGGAGCUUGCGGCAGAUUAGCUAGUUGGUAAGGUAAUGGCUUACCAAGGCUACGAUCUGUAACCGGUCUAAGAGGACGGUCGGUCACACUGGACACUGAAUAACGGGUCAGACUCCUACGGGAGGCAGCAGUCGGGAAUUUUGGGC